rnacentral:rRNA from 1 species
UCGAUGGGAAACAGGUUAAUAUUCCUGUACUUGGUGUUACUGCGAAGGGGGGACGGAGAAGGCUAUGUUAGCCGGGCGACGGUUGUCCCGGUUUAAGCAUGUAGGCUGGUUAUCCAGGCAAAUCCGGAUAAUCAAGGCUGAGGUGUGAUGACGAGGCACUACGGUGCUGAAGUAACAAAUGCCCUGCUUCCAGGAAAAGCCUCUAAGCAUCAGGUAACAUCAAAUCGUACCCCAAACCGACACAGGUGGUCAGGUAGAGAAUACCAAGGCGCUUGAGAGAACUCGGGUGAAGGAACUAGGCAAAAUGGUGCCGUAACUUCGGGAGAAGGCACGCUGGUGUGUAGGUGAAGCCCCUGCGGGUGGAGCUGAGACCAGUCGAAGAUACCAGCUGGCUGCAACUGUUUAUUAAAAACACAGCACUGUGCAAACACGAAAGUGGACGUAUACGGUGUGACGCCUGCCCGGUGCCGG